rnacentral:tRNA from 1 species
GGGCAUGUGGCGGAAUUGGUAGACGCGCUAGCUUCAGGAGCUAGUCUUCGCAAGGAGAUGGAGGUUCGAGUCCUCUCAUGCCCACCA